rnacentral:rRNA from 1 species
UCAGUAGCGGCGAGUGAAGCGGCAAAAGCUCAAAUUUGAAAUCUGGCGUCUUUGGCGUCCGAGUUGUAAUUUGAAGAAGGUAUCUUUGGGCCCGGCUCUUGUCUAUGUUCCUUGGAACAGGACGUCACAGAGGGUGAGAAUCCCGUGCGAUGAGAUGACCCGGGUCUGUGUAAAGUUCCUUCGACGAGUCGAGUUGUUUGGGAAUGCAGCUCUAAGUGGGUGGUAAAUUCCAUCUAAAGCUAAAUAUUGGCGAGAGACCGAUAGCGAACAAGUACAGUGAUGGAAAGAUGAAAAGAACUUUGAAAAGAGAGUGAAAAAGUACGUGAAAUUGUUGAAAGGGAAGGGCUUGAGAUCAGACUUGGUAUUUUGCAUGCUGCUCUCUCGGGGGCGGCCGCUGCGGUUUACCGGGCCAGCAUCGGUUUGGAGCGGCAGGAUAAUGGCGGAGGAAUGUGGCACGGCUUCUGCUGUGUGUUAUAGCCUCUGACGAUGCUGCCAGCCUAGACCGAGGACUGCGGUUUUUAACCUAGGAUGUUGGCAUAAUGAUCUUAAGUCGCCCGUCUU